rnacentral:rRNA from 1 species
UACGGGGGGGGUAAGCGUUGUUCGGAAUUACUGGGCGUAAAGCGUGCGUAGGCGGUCCGCGAAGUCUGAUGUGAAAGCCCCGGGCUCAACCUGGGAACUGCAUUGGAAACUAACGGGCUCGAGUGUGGCAGAGGGGGGUGGAAUUCCACGUGUAGCAGUGAAAUGCGUAGAGAUGUGGAGGAACACCGAUGGCGAAGGCAGCCCCCUGGGCUAACACUGACGCUCAGGCACGAAAGCGUGGGGAGCAAACAGG